rnacentral:lncRNA from 1 species
GUUGAAACUGGUUGCGAUGGGUGGCUAAAUCCGUCAUGACACCGUGUCUACAGUCAGAUCAAGGAGAUGGUCGCAUGCGGUUGGACACAUGGAGGAGAGAAUCAUUUUCGCAGUAUCCUCAAAACCGUGUCUUUUUGACACAACUGCUGACAGCUACAGGGAUAUAAACACAAAAAAUGCUGCUUGGAGACAAGUGUCCACGAUAGUAGGAUUGCCAGAAGACGAUUUUAGGAGGACAUGGAGAGGACUCAGGGACAGGUAUCAGAGAGAGAGAAGGGCAGAGAAAGAGAAGAAGAGGUCUGGGUCAGCAGCUUCAGGCCAGCAGCCUUGGCGCUUCUGCCACAUUCUUUUUUUUCUGGAUCCAUUUAUUGUGCCUAGGGCAACA